UUUUUAAAUGGCUGAAAAAUCCAGUGAAGAAUAUUUCAUGAUAUGUGAACGUUUUAUGAGAUAUAAAUUCCAGCAUCCAUAAGUCAAGUUUCACUGGAAUGCAGACAUAAAUGUUUGAUUACAUAUCGUCUCUGGCUGCUUUCAUGCUAGAGUUGAAUAGUGUCAAGAAAGAUCAUUUGGCCCCCAAAGUCUAAGAUAUAAGCUAUUUGCACCUUUUCAGAAAAAGUUUGCUAACUCUCAUUUGGUACACCGAUUUCUCCAAAUUUGAUCAGUAGAUUACGCAUCAGAAUGAAGUGGAGAAAAAAAUAAUAAAUGGCGAUUGUCCAUUUCUUCCUUAGACAUUCUUGUCCUGUGGCUCCAGAACAUUUGCAAGGCUCUAGCCUCUGGGCCCAGAAGGCUCUCUCGGGGAGUAAAUACCAUCAAAAUGCCUGGGACUCACUUGCUACACACAGAUGGCUGCAAAUUCUUCUUCCAGGCAAAGUGCAGAAGGUUCCCAGAACCCGGAGAGCAAAGACAGCCCGUGUUCUUCAUGAGAACAGCUGAUCAGAGGUUGUAAAACUGGCUGACAUGGUCUAGGUACUGAAAGAAGAUAUGUAACAAACUCCAAAAUUUAAUUGAAGAAAGCUAAAUGAAGGACAUAUUUUAAGGGGCAUGAGCUGGGUGGGGUAAGAGAACAAACAUGGAAUGGUCAAGAACCCUGCAUGAGACCAUUGCCACCCCUAGGAUGGAAAGCACAACAGUGAGAGAGAAGCAUUUUCGGAACCCGAAGGGAGCUCAGAGCUGCAAAUAGAAGGACACCCCCUCCAUCAAGAGCUAUAACCUUGCUACUCAUCCCCUGCCAGAACCACAGUAAGGAAGAGAUGGUGAAGGGGAUAAAUAUUCCAACCUUGGUUUCCCCUCCACUUUCCUUUGGUCAACCCAAGUGGGAACAUAAGUGAUGUAGUCCAUACAUUUCGGCCACCAUGGGUGGAAAACAAGAGAGAAAACGGUGGAAAAUGGAUAUAAGAGAAGAUGACAAAUGGAUAUUUAAAUAUAUUAUCCACAUAUGAAUGAGAUCACAGAUGUGCGUGCGUGUGUGUGUGUGUGUAAGAGAGAGAGAGAGUUCUCUUUGAUGUCAGUUUGAUUUUUCUGGUUUUUUUUUCAUGUUUAUUAUUUUUGAUAAAGAGUACAAGUGGGGGAGG
rnacentral:lncRNA from 1 species